UACGUAGGGCGCAAGCGUUGUCCGGAAUUAUUGGGCGUAAAGAGCUCGUAGGCGGCCUGUUACGUCUGCUGUGAAAUCCCGGGGCUUAACCCCGGGCGUGCAGUGGAUACGGGCAGGCUGGAGGCAGGCAGGGGAGAACGGAAUUCCGGUGUAGCGGUGAAAUGCGCAGAUAUCGGGAGGAACACCGGUGGCGAAGGCGGUUCUCUGGGCCUGUACUGACGCUGAGGAGCGAAGCGUGGGAGCGAACAGG
rnacentral:rRNA from 1 species